rnacentral:ncRNA from 1 species
CACAACUAAUAUAUCGAAAGUUGGAAUGAAGACCGUCAUGUUGAGUCGAAACAACUUCGUUAAGUCUCCUGCAUGCAUAAUUUAUGAGUAGAUAACUUAUGUGUGAAGCCAGGUGAAGUCGGCUGAACAAGCCUAAGUAGCAGUAUGCUAUAUGGCGUAGGAUAGGCCGGACGGCUGAAAA